rnacentral:rRNA from 1 species
CCAAUAGCGUAUAUUAAAGUUGUUGCAGUUAAAAAGCUCGUAGUUGAAUUUCGGGGUUAGCAGGUCGGUCGUGCCAUCGGUAUGAACUGGUCUCGCUGAUCCCUCCCUCUUGACGAACUGUGAUGCCAUUAAUUUGGUGUCGCAGGGAAUCAGGACUGUUACUUUGAAAAAAUUAGAGUGUUUAAAGCAGGCUCACGCUUGAAUACAUUAGCAUGGAAUAAUGAAAUAGGACGUUUGAUCCUAUUUUGUUGGUUUCUAGGAUUGACGUAAUGAUUAAUAGGGAUAGUUGGGGGCAUUAGUAUUCAAUUGUCAGAGGUGAAAUUCUUGGAUUUAUUGAAGACUAACUACUGCGAAAGCAUUUGCCAAGGAUGUUUUCAUUAAUCAAGAACGAAAGUUAGGGGAUCGAAGACGAUCAGAUACCGUCGUGGUCUUAACCAUAAACUAUGCCGACUAGGGAUCGGAUGAUGUUAAUUUUUUAAUGACUCAUUCGGCGCCUUACG